AGCCUCCAAAGCAGCUCAGAGAACGAGGCCCAGUCUUCAGAGCCGCGGCCGUGGAGCAGCUCCAGCCUCAACCUGAAGCAUCCCGGUCCUGACCCGCGGAGACCGCUCCAGCAGCAGCAGGAGCGCGGGACGCCUCUCAAACACAGGUUUAUAUUUAGACUUCCUCUCAGAUUUGACCUCGCUUACACUGUAAUCUAGUGCUGUUGGUCUUCCUCACUGUGAGCUGAUGAACCAGCACUGCACAUCAAACUCAUUUCAAAGCAGCUUUACAGAAAGUCACGAGGUCAGCAGUGCUGUCGUCUACAGUCCCAGCCUGACCUCACAGGCCUCCAGGUGUCACUCAUCUGUAGCUCCGCCUCCUGCCGCUCAGCCCACCAAUCACCUCACAGAACAGAUGCCGGUGUGUCACUGUUCGUCCAGCCAGUUCCCGGUGUCUGGACAGCCGUACCUGCGCAUGGGUCCAGUGCCAUACAGCGCUCAGAGUCAGAUUCCUCCCGCACCCCCGCAGCAGCCAGGUUACCAAACUGUGAUCAAAUCAGCAGCAGAACUACCAGAACAUGAUGCAGCCGCCGCAGAACCAGAUGCAAGUCAUGAUGCUCCAGCAUCCGUCAGUGCCAUCUUAUCAGGUGAACACUGCAUUCUGGGAGCAUGUAUUAACUCUCAGCUGAGUAGAGAUGUUUCAGUAUAGUGACCAAAAUUAUCACGGUUAUCAGUAUUGUUCAAAUGUGCUGGAAAUGUUGGGAAAGUACUGACACACAAAUCAUUUCACCAAGUUUUUCUGUUUUCACCUGAGACUGUUACUGAAAACUCUGCUUUAUGCUGGACGGUUUUAAUGAUAAUUAAAAGUGCUAAUACUAACCGUGGGGAAUUGUAUCAUGAUUUAUCAGUGUCAAGCUGCUGAUCGUUAAUAGAGUUAACCCACAUCAUGAGUGAUGUAAAGCAGAGGCGUGAUGAGCGUCUGUGAAUGUGUUUUGUGUCAGGUGUCUGCGCAGUGAAAACACAGCAUGCGUCUGCUGACGAGUGUUCAUAUAUAUUUUUUAGAAUAAUAAAUUCAGACUGAUUUAAUCUUCUGCUGAAUAA
ensembl:lncRNA